rnacentral:pre_miRNA from 1 species
AGUGCAAUUGCUGGAUUGUAUGGUCAGAAUAUGUUUGGUUUUGUGAGAACCUGCCAAACUGUCUUCCAAAGUGGCUGUACCAUUUUGCAUUCCCACCAGCAAU